rnacentral:lncRNA from 1 species
GCCAGGUCCCCAGGGUCUGUACUGUGAGAAUCCGCCCACAGCGGCCCCGCUCUCACUCGUGACCCGACAUCAGGGAGAGGCCUGGGCGCACCCCGGGACCCGCGUUGUGGGGAGCUCUAGCGCAGCCUCCUGUGGUGCCCAGCAGGAGAAGCGCUUUGGCCAAGGCGUUGUGAGAGUUUCAAGAAAGAAACACUCUUUUGGGUCCUUCUCUGGAUGAGAAGAAAAGCAUAAAUCCUGGGAUAUCCACUGGUGGCAAAUGUCACCCACCUGACGAGGAAGUCCUCUGCAACCGAGAUCCAGAGUGUCCUGAAGGAGAUACUGCAGACUGGGGCCAGAGGUGGGGAGAGGGA